GCUAGUGCUUUAAAAAUACAAUCCAUUGACAACAUGUGGUUUAACAUAGAAAGUCAGGAUAACAAAAAAAAAACAAUGUUGAAUUUACUAUCUUACCCUCAGAUUGUUGCCCCGUCGAUAGGUCAGGCUGCAGUUGAAAAAAUAAGGAUUUCUGCCACCAGCUGAGCCUUACAGGCACGGGCCGCGGGCUGGUGACGAUGAUGGCGACGGCGGUAGCCAACAUGGCCAACCAAGUCAGCCAGAAGAGCAGCACCAGGUAGCAGCGCACCCUCCUCCAGCCGGGGCUCCCAGCGCUCACCUCUAGGUCCUCCUUGCUCAUAGGCCGCCACGGCUGGUCGGGUGCGAGGUCCGGGACCAGCAGAGAGGCCGUCUCCGAACCGGCUUCGCUGGCCGAGAGGCCCGGGGAGGCCACGCUUCCGUAGCCGUUGUCUCCGGCGUUCAAGGGCAUGGUGGCGGGCUGCAGGUCCUUCUGCCGUCUCCUGGUAUAACUUAGUGUGUGUGAUCGCGUUUUUGACGAAAUAGUGCUGUGACCGGGACCGGUCGAGGAGUAAAAAGUACCUGUAGCCAGGAUGUGGUCCAGCAGGUUCCUGGAGCAGUACUGGGCCACUGUGCUCCCAGCAUGGCCGUCAAACACAGCAUAAUAGGCCCACUCGCUCAGCUCCCCUCUCAUCUGAGGCAUGCACGUGUGCGCAUCUUCCAUCUGAGCCCUCCAGCCCUGCAUGUUUGCCACCGCGUAGUUCACCCCAGACUGGGACCCCCCCUCGGACACGUGCUUCUCCAAAAUGGGCCGCUCCAGCUGGCGGAGGAAGGAGGGCACCUCCACGUUGCUCGCCCUGCGCGCUGUCCUCAUCACGCCUCUGAGUCGCUGCUCAAGCUUCCUGCUCGACCUGGCCGCCGCUCGUCGUCUCCUCUUGCUGGUGGCCCUGCGCCGGCCGUUUGUCUUCCUCAGCAGGUCCAGGGCAACGAAUGAGCAGAUGCUCAGAUGACCAGGCUGCCCGGCUUCUCCCUGUUUACCGUAGCGUACUGAACUCUAACAGCGCUGCAGCCAUGGUGAUGAUGAUGAUGAGAGAGCAAGCAGCAGGAGGAAGAGGAUGGUGGAGGGGGAAUCUGGACCGAGUCAGGGCGGGGCGGCCAGAGGCAGGAAGCUGCUCACACAGAACACCGUGGGACCACAGAGG